UACGAAGGUGGCAAGCGUUGUUCGGAUUUACUGGGCGUACAGGGAGCGUAGGCGGUUCGGUAAGCCCUCUGUGAAAUCUCCAGGCUUAACCUGGAACAGUCGGAGGGGACUGCUGGGCUAGAGGACGGGAGAGGAGCGCGGAAUUCCCGGUGUAGCGGUGAAAUGCGUGGAGAUCGGGAGGAAGGCCGGUGGCGAAGGCGGCGCUCUGGAACGUUUCUGACGCUGAGGCUCGAAAGCGUGGGGAGCAAACAGG
rnacentral:rRNA from 1 species